UAGGGAAUCUUCGGCAAUGGGGGGAACCCUGACCGAGCAACGCCGCGUGAGUGAAGAAGGUUUUCGGAUCGUAAAGCUCUGUUGUUAAGGAAGAACGAGUGUGAGAAUGGAAAGUUCAUGCUGUGACGGUACUUAACCAGAAAGGGACGGCUAACUACGUGCCAGCAGCCGCGGUAAUACGUAGGUCCCGAGCGUUGUCCGGAUUUAUUGGGCGUAAAGCGAGCGCAGGCGGAUAGAAAAGUCUGAAGUGAAAGGCAGUGGCUCAACCAUUGUACGCUUUGGAAACUGUUUAACGUGAGUGCAGAAGGGGAGAGUGGAAUUCCAUGUGUAGCGGUGAAAUGCGUAGAUAUAUGGAGGAACACCGGUUGCGAAAGCGGCUCUCUGGUCUGUAACUGACGCUGAGGCUCGAAAGCGUGGGGAGCGAACAGG
rnacentral:rRNA from 1 species